UUUUCAUUCAUGAAAUCCUUUUAACUUUUGAAAAGGUUUGAUUUGGUUUUGACUUAUUGUUUCAUUUGCAUUUUACAUCUUUAUUUCAUACUUAUUUUGAUCAGUAGACCUGAAGACUGCAAGGACCAAGACUAAGCAAUCUAUUGCAGUGUGAAUUUGGGGGCAUCUCCAGAUCCUAUUGGCCAGUGAAGGAGUUGCCAGAUGUCCUUUCUAAAUGCCCAGUGAAGUCUUACGCUUCAUAUGAAAAGCUUAUAGAAAAGCUUCCUCCAAUAUUUCACAUCGGCUGGGUGCCUUUUUGGCACUGGUGGCAGUGGCUGCUAAGGAAAAAGCUACUGUGCAUAUGCAGGAAAGCAAUUUUGCAAGCUCCAGCCCAGGGCACAGCAGUGCACACUUUGUGCAGUGGACCUGUGUGUGUGCAGCAUGCAUGGAGUGACACUGAAUCUCAAGGCGUGACAUCUGAUCUCUCUGCUAUUAUCAAGGCUCCCAUUUACUACAGCCACCAUUGUCUCAAAAAUCCUAAUGACAACCUCGUUGUGUAGAAAGGCACUUGUCAAAGUAAGCACCUUGAAUGGGAGCUGGGGCAGAAAUGGUGGGUAAAGCCCAGCAAAUAAAGAGCUUUGGCUGGCACUGACCUGCGGCUGGAGGUAAAAUGAACAGGAGGAGGAGAGGUGCUGCUCAGCAUUUGUACACCAUGAGAGCAGCCUGUGACUGUACUGGCAGAAGGCAGAGAAGAGAAGAACCUACUGUCACAGAGGAGACAAUGCUGCAAAGAGAGUACACUGCUGAAAGAGAAGUGAAUGAAUUCCUCAUGAAAGGUGCUGUAUGGACAACUCCUUUUUAUCUUCACAAGUCCUGGAGAAACAGCAGUGGAUUCCCCUGCCUUACUUCACCCCUAGGCUGGUCCUCUCCAUGUGUCUCUCACAUAAGGAACUGUUUGAUUGCUCUCCAUUUCUGUUUCGAAAAUCCAAAGAAAUGGCAUUCAGAAGGAAGUUAAAAAAGGGGGAGAACAAAGGAACACAGUUUCUUGUACAAACUUUUGCAGACCACAGUUGUGGAUGUCCCUCCUGAAAUGGCACUUUCUGCUCUAUUCGUGCCAGAAGGCAAUUGGAACUUGUGUGAUUCUCCAUCCUCCUAGCACUUCAUAGAGACAUCUGACCAGAGACUGCUGAUGCACAGGCAGCUGGAAUAUGUGCUGUGGGAAUGAGUAAACAGAAGGGCCAGAAAUCCUCACUCUAGGGAACUGUGGAACUGAUACUGGAAGACUGUCAAGUCAGAAUAUCCUUAGAAUGAUAGGACAUGAGUUCAAGCCACACAUAAAUCCAGAUUUCAGAGUCUUGACCUCAGGUAAGACUCCGGAUUACAUGAAAUUUGUAAGAAAAGUACAGGAAAUCUACAGUGAUCUCAUGUAUUUAAAACCUGUUCUCAGACAAAGUAAGACAAAUUAGUUUCAACAGAAAAAAAAAAUCCUGGACAGGAUUACCAGAAUUUUGAAUGAAGAAAAUUUCAAAAAUCCAAGUUUAAGAAAUUACUUUACUUGAAAACUCUUUCAUGCUGAGGCAGGAUCUGAAUCUAAUUUUCACAGCCCUACAAAAUUAUUCUACAUAUAGAAGCUUAUCACAUACAUAAUUACCUUAUUCUAGUUUGUAUUCUAGAACAAACAUGUCUGCAUGAGACAGUUAUUCAGUAAGAAUGCUGCUUUUAUUCUUGAAUAAUUCCAUGUGCAGUCAAGCCCUCAGUCAAACCAUCACAACUCUGUAUGUAGAUGAAUUGUCAGUCUGUCUCUGCUUGCACUUACACAAAAUGUGUAUCUCUGUUACUAAAUGCAGCUGACAGAUCUGAAAACGUCACGUUUGUGGAGUAGGCAUAGCUCUUACAAGUUCCCACCCUUAUUGGCCUACUAUUUCUGUGUCCUUUGGAGGUGUUACGAACUGCAUAUCCUUCAUAUUUUGUGUUCAAUGUCAUUAGCAAACUAAUAAAUGCUAUGGAGAGAAGGAAAAGUUUUUUCUUCCCUUGUUUGCCAAAAAGCAAGAGGAUUUUUGCCAAAAGGAAGAGUUUUUGAGUGUGACAAUGCUCCAUCAACUUUAUAUAUAUGAGCCCAGGAGAAGAAAACUGAGUUGCUUUCCUUUGAGAAGGGGAAGGAAAUAAAUAUUUGUCCUAGUUCACUAAAAAGCUCUUACGUAUUAGACCUUUUAACCAUAAAGACUUUAUUUUCUUCAUGCUUGUUUUUAUCACCUAUGUUUGCCUAAUUUUGUCAUGAGUACUGUCUCAAAGCCUUAAUAAAACAUUAAUGUCCAAGCCCCAGAACUUCCACUGUUACUUUUCUAUCAUUUAUCUCUGUUACUGAUUUUAGCUCUGGUUACUUCUAAGAAAAGUAAAAUGGCAAUCUAUACAUUUCAAGGAAAGGAUGAGAUUAAUGAAUGUAUACAACUAGGACCUGCUGCUGAUGAUGUCAAAUAUUAAGAGGUGGAACUCUUAAUAUGUACUUAAAAUAGUUUGUUUUCUACUUUGUGUAGUUCUUGUAGCUCCACUUUAAUGUUCUUCCCUAAUACAGGUUUUAACAAUUCAAGUAUGGACUGAAUGGCCUUAUUAGAACCUUUUAAAUGAGUAAGUGUAGCUUUUAAUUCAGUAGCACCUAAAAGAUGUCACUAUAUGGCUACUUUCUAGCCCAUAUGAAAUUACGUGGUGCUGGCUGUUCAGGCAUGUUUAAUGUGAACUCGUCCCAGCUGUAUUCUCAGCAGAGAGCAACUCCUGAAAAGCCCAUGAAGAUGGAUCAGGGUUUUUUUCAGCAAACUGGAAGGAAGAGAUCAGUUCUGCUAUCACUUUUACAGUUUACAUGCUAUGGGCAGGAGUCUGGAUCCUUGUUUAAUGUCUUAGCAGACUGUAGGUAUCAGGCAUUACACAAACAUUCAGUGAUAACAUUUUUCAGAAUAAAAGCCCAAGACCAGCUGGUUUUCUUACUGAGGAGAUCAUUCUAGAUUUCCAAAACAGGACUAGUGAAUAGAGUUCUUCCUUUUUGAGAUAUGAUUUUGUUCUUUAAAUAUCGUGAACCGCGAGUCACUAUCACCCCCGGGGGUUCUAGAAGGUUCCCUUGUGCCUCCCCUCAGCAGCGAGGGCCCAAAGGCACGUGAGGCAUCAGCCAGGGCUACUGGAGAAGGCGAGGAUGUGCAUGUCCCCCUCCCGGGUCACUGGUGGGAGGAAACCCAGCCUGGAUGCAUCCACUGCAGCCAUCUCCCAGAAUUUACAGCUGCCUCACAAGAAUCUGCCCAAUCACCAGCUCCAUCCCAGAACGGGGCACUGAGUAACACUAAUUGGGCAAACUGAGAGAACCUGUGAGUAGUGACUUGCUCACCUGGGGAUGAUCAGCCCUCGUCCCAAGCGCGCUCCACGCCCCAAGGGCAGGCAGGAAUGGCACGAAGCCGGUGUUUGGCUGCCGGGGAAGAUGGAAGCAGCAGCCCCGUUGUCCUUGGAGAAGGAAGGGCCCUGAGGGGCAGGUGCUGCCCGGCCCUGGCUCUCCCUGGCACCUGCGCCCUGCGGGAAGGGCCCUGCGCGGGAGCAGCAGUAGCAGCAGCAUCUGCCGGGACUGCGAGCAGGUCAGUGCCUCAGCUGAACUUCCAUUACUUCUUUUCUCUCUGAGGAAUGUUUGCCAUCACAUUAACUUCUUUUGGAGAUUUUUGAGGUAUGUAUCAGGAAAAAUCCCUUUACAAAUAAUCAUCUGCUUAAGCUUUUGUUGGUUCAAAUGUUAUUCCCUUUGCUAUUGAAAGCAAACGUCAUAAAGACCUGUUUUCCUUUAAAACAAAGGAUUUGAAUUUUUAUAUCGGAGUAGCCUUUAGGUUGUUUGUUGUUUAUGUAUCUUGCAAUAUGGUAUUUCAUUUUAAGGAAGAAUUCUUUAGGUUUAUUUUGUUCAAAAAUUUAAAAGUUGAUGUGUUUGACUUGAGAUUCUAUGGGUUCUGUUAGUAACUUGUUUUCCGCGGGAAAAAGUAAGUUCUGUCAUAAUGGCUUUGCACUUCAGAAGGGAAUUCUGUAACUCUUUUAAGUGUAAUGUGAUUGUGUCUACAUUGUUGUUUUGCAACUUUCUUCUGUUGUUAAAUACCAAACUAGGGCUUCUUAAGUGUGAGAAGGAAAAAUAGCCUUUAUACUAUUGUUUACCUCCUCAUUGGUAUUAUACAGUUCUUCGCAUUAUAAAAAUGCUAUUUAAUCAUGGUCAACUUAAUUCUAUCUACCAACUCCUCCAUUGUGCAAGGCUUUGGACAGCACUCGCUGGGUUACUGAGUCCUCCCCUCCCUACUGCAGCCGUCACAUUGGAUAAUUUGUUUUUGAAGUGUGCUGUACUUUAUCUUAACAACACUUGUGUGGUUUAUUCCCACUAUUCCCAGAGGAUGGCUGUUACAGAAUGUGAUUGCUUUACAACAUUGCUAGUGAACCAUUUGCCAUUGGAACUGACUUGGGAUAAGGUCAAAACCAAUGAGCUACCACCAUAUACUUUAAAAAAAUUCCUGGCCAGCUAAAGUCCAUUUGGACUCAUGCCAAAGUUAUCUUUUAAUUUUUUUUUUCUCUCAGCUUUUUAGCUAAAAGUUAGAUGGCAAUCCUGUCCUCUCUUAGCUUUUUUUAUAGUAGACUAAAUAAAUCAAGCUUGUUUAAUCUCAUUUUAUAAAAUAAGCUUUCCAUUGCCCUCAUCUACCUAGCAGGCCUCCUCUACCUGCUCUAAUUCCAGUCAAUUUGUCAAAUGCAGGUGGCUAGAGUGAAUGCAGUAUUUCAGGUGAGCUCUUCCUAGACUUUUACACAAUGCUAUUGCUUUUCCUUGGCUCUGUUGAAAGUUGCACUAGCUGCCAUACAGGGGUGAUCCACAAUCAUUGUAUUUUAGCAGUCAUCCUAAAUUAAUAUUGAGGAAUUAUGCCAUUUAUGCUUUUUUAGCACAUAAUACUGAGAUUUGAGGUUUGUUUUUAAAUCAGAGGAAGUUUAAUGUGUUGUCAUCUACUUUCAAUAAUCC
ensembl:lncRNA